AUACGUAGGGUGCAAGCGUUAAUCGGAAUUACUGGGCGUAAAGCGUGCGCAGGCGGUUUUGUAAGACAGUGGUGAAAUCCCCGGGCUCAACCUGGGAACUGCCAUUGUGACUGCAAGGCUGGAGUGCGGCAGAGGGGGAUGGAAUUCCGCGUGUAGCAGUGAAAUGCGUAUAUAUGCGGAGGAACACCGAUGGCGAAGGCAAUCCCCUGGGCCUGCACUGACGCUCAUGCACGAAAGCGUGGGGAGCAAACAGGAUUAGAUACCCUGGUAGUCCACGCCCUAAACGAUGUCAACUGGUUGUUGGGGAUUUAUUUUCUCAGUAACGAAGCUAACGCGUGAAGUUGACCGCCUGGGGAGUACGGCCGCAAGGUUAAAACUCAAAUGAAUUGACGGGG
rnacentral:rRNA from 1 species